CCAAUAGCGUAUAUUUAAGUUGUUGCAGUUAAAAAGCUCGUAGUUGAAUUUCGGGAUCAGUUCGCUGGUCGUGCCUCUGGUAUGUACUGGUGUUACUGGUUCCUCCCUUCUGACGAACUGUCAUGUCAUUUAUUUGGUGUGGCGGGGAAUCAGGACUGUUACUUUGAAAAAAUUAGAGUGUUUAAAGCAGGCUCGCGCUUGAAUACAUUAGCAUGGAAUAAUGAAAUAGGACGUUCGAUCCUAUUUUGUUGGUUUCUAGGAUUGACGUAAUGAUUAAUAGGGAUAGUUGGGGGCAUUAGUAUUCAAUUGUCAGAGGUGAAAUUCUUGGAUUUAUUGAAGACUAACUACUGCGAAAGCAUUUGCCAAGGAUGUUUUCAUUAAUCAAGAACGAAAGUUAGGGGAUCGAAGACGAUCAGAUACCGUCGUAGUCUUAACCAUAAACUAUGCCGACUAGGGAUCGGAUGAUGUUAUUUUUAAUGACUCAUUCGGCGCCUUACG
rnacentral:rRNA from 1 species